UUUAUGGAGAGUUUGAUCCUGGCUCAGGAUGAACGCUGGCGGCGUGCCUAAUACAUGCAAGUCGAGCGAACAGAUAAGGAGCUUGCUCCUUUGACGUUAGCGGCGGACGGGUGAGUAACACGUGGGUAACCUACCUAUAAGACUGGGAUAACUUCGGGAAACCGGAGCUAAUACCGGAUAAUAUUUCGAACCGCAUGGUUCGAUAGUGAAAGAUGGUUUUGCUAUCACUUAUAGAUGGACCCGCGUCGUAUUAGCUAGUUGGUAAGGUAACGGCUUACCAAGGCGACGAUACGUAGCCGACCUGAGAGGGUGAUCGGCCACACUGGAACUGAGACACGGUCCAGACUCCUACGGGAGGCAGCAGUAGGGAAUCUUCCGCAAUGGGCGAAAGCCUGACGGAGCAACGCCGCGUGAGUGAUGAAGGUCUUCGGAUCGUAAAACUCUGUUAUUAGGGAAGAACAUACGUGUAAGUAACUGUGCACGUCUUGACGGUACCUAAUCAGAAAGCCACGGCUAACUACGUGCCAGCAGCCGCGGUAAUACGUAGGUGGCAAGCGUUAUCCGGAAUUAUUGGGCGUAAAGCGCGCGUAGGCGGUUUUUUAAGUCUGAUGUGAAAGCCCACGGCUCAACCGUGGAGGGUCAUUGGAAACUGGAAAACUUGAGUGCAGAAGAGGAAAGUGGAAUUCCAUGUGUAGCGGUGAAAUGCGCAGAGAUAUGGAGGAACACCAGUGGCGAAGGCGACUUUCUGGUCUGUAACUGACGCUGAUGUGCGAAAGCGUGGGGAUCAAACAGGAUUAGAUACCCUGGUAGUCCACGCCGUAAACGAUGAGUGCUAAG
rnacentral:rRNA from 1 species